rnacentral:sRNA from 5 species
UUGGGCGUUCGGUGGAUGCCUUGGUACCAGGGGCCGAUGAAAGGCGUGGUGGACUGCGAUAUGCCUCGGGGAGUCGUCGAGCGGGCUUUGAUCCGAGGGUGCCUGAAUGGGGAGACCCGGCAAGUUUUGUGGCUUGUCACCGUAUUCUGAAUUGAUA